CAAUGAAUGAGAAAUGCCAACCACUGCAUUUUGCUCCACAUCUAAAAAUCAAACCCCAGUCUGUUUCUAACAAUUUGUUUUACCAGUAUCAGUACAAGCAAAAACACAAUGAAGUGGAAUUUUGUUCAGUUCUGGGUGGUAAACUUGAAAAAGCACACAGAAACACUAGGUUUCAUUCAUAGGCAAGAAACUUAACCAGGCUGUCUGAGCAGGGACUGCUGAGCUAGACGGAGAAAGCUCUCGGCAACGCGAAGGCUGCAGGGUUAUCGUGCAGAAGGAAGAGACUUCCCGUGUCAGAGACCCCGAGGGCCAGCACCCGAGCUAGGACCACAGGACACAAGAUCCUCUGAACUGACUACAAGGAUAUUUUACAUGAUCUGACUGCUUACAAUCUGAGAAAAAUUCCAAAUAGACUAAUCGAGACCCGACUACACUAUUUUAUUCCACCAACUGUUCACACGGCUUGGAACAGUUUUUCUAUAGGAGCAAUAUGGCCAAAGACAUUUUCUAGUUGUGAUUUACAAAAAGGAAAAACUGUCUUUGUGGACGGUCUUCCCGUCCCCAGGACACAUGGCACGAUUUUCAGAAGCAUUCAGUAAAGUCACAAAGGGAAAAAAUGAAGCAGCAACGCGGUCCCUAAGG